ensembl:lncRNA
AAGGGGAGGCAAUGUUCUCUUUCUGGAGAUCUCUGUAUACCUGAGGGCUUCUCAAGGUUGCACUGGCAACAAAGUAACCUGUUAGUGUUACAGAGGAUAACACCGAGUUGCUGAAGAUCAUAAAAUGCCCAUAAAAAAGAAGAAAGAGUAUGUAAAUAAAGCAAGUAAGAUAACAACAAGAGCACUAAUUUUUCAUGCCCCUUUGGGACUGCUUUGGACUGCUGAAAGCAAGAGAUAAGAUCACUGGAUUCACCUGGAGAUUACAUUUACUUCAGAUAUGUGCAGAAGGGACUCAUGAGAAAAGGAAGUAUUUACAUUCUGGCAUGUUAAUGAGUUUCCAUCUUUUUUUUCACCUCUCUUUCCCCUUGUUCACUCUUGUAAUGUUUGUUUGUUUGUUUUCCAUCUGUUAAAAGAUGGGGAAUAUAUAUCCGCUUCACUGGCAUUGCAAGCACAUAUACACA